rnacentral:sRNA from 1 species
GAUUUAGCUAUGUAUAAGAGAUAAAGCCGGGCAUGAUCAAGAAGACGAGUUAAGCGGUAAAGAACCCAUCAUGGGGUCGCUUAACUCGCCGUGCCGGGAAACUGGCAUGAGUGGCUUCGGCCACU